rnacentral:rRNA from 1 species
AGGGAAAAAUUGACGAAGGUCUGACGGAGCACGCCGCGUGAGUGAUGAAGGUUUUCGGAUCGUAAAACUCUGUUGUUAGGGAAGAACAAGUACCGUUCGAAUAGGGCGGCACCUUGACGGUACCUAACCAGAAAGCCACGGCUAACUACGUGCCAGCAGCCGCGGUAAUAA